rnacentral:rRNA from 1 species
CAAUAGCGUAUAUUAAAGUUGUUGCAGUUAAAACGCUCGUAGUCGGAUUUCGGGGCGGGCUGACCGGUCUGCCGAUGGGUAUGCACUGGCCGGCGCGUCCUUCCUUCCGGAGACCGCGCCUACUCUUAACUGAGCGGGCGUGGGAGACGGAUCGUUUACUUUGAAAAAAUCAGAGUGUUUCAGCAAGGCAUCUCGCUCUUGCAUGGAUUAGCAUGGGAUAAUGAAAUAGGACUUUGGUGCUAUUUUGUUGGUUUCGAACACCGAAGUAAUGAUUAACAGGGACAGUCAGGGGCACUCGUAUUCCGCCGAGAGAGGUGAAAUUCUCAGACCAGCGGAAGACGAACUACUGCGAAAGCAUUUGCCAGGGAUGUUUUCACUGAUCAAGAACGAAAGUUAGGGGAUCGAAUGACGAUUAGAU